AUUGAACGCUGGCGGCAGGCCUAACACAUGCAAGUCGAGCGGAUGAGAAGAGCUUGCUCUUCGAUUCAGCGGCGGACGGGUGAGUAAUGCCUAGGAAUCUGCCUGGUAGUGGGGGACAACGUUUCGAAAGGAACGCUAAUACCGCAUACGUCCUACGGGAGAAAGCAGGGGACCUUCGGGCCUUGCGCUAUCAGAUGAGCCUAGGUCGGAUUAGCUAGUUGGUGAGGUAAUGGCUCACCAAGGCGACGAUCCGUAACUGGUCUGAGAGGAUGAUCAGUCACACUGGAACUGAGACACGGUCCAGACUCCUACGGGAGGCAGCAGUGGGGAAUAUUGGACAAUGGGCGAAAGCCUGAUCCAGCCAUGCCGCGUGUGUGAAGAAGGUCUUCGGAUUGUAAAGCACUUUAAGUUGGGAGGAAGGGCAGUAAGUUAAUACCUUGCUGUUUUGACGUUACCGACAGAAUAAGCACCGGCUAACUCUGUGCCAGCAGCCGCCGCGG
rnacentral:rRNA from 1 species